rnacentral:rRNA from 1 species
GAUGAACGCUGGCGGCGUGCCUAAUACAUGCAAGUCGAGCGAACAGACGAGGAGCUUGCUCCUUUGACGUUAGCGGCGGACGGGUGAGUAACACGUGGGUAACCUACCUAUAAGACUGGGAUAACUUCGGGAAACCGGAGCUAAUACCGGAUAAUAUUUCGAACCGCAUGGUUCGAUAGUGAAAGAUGGCUUUGCUAUCACUUAUAGAUGGACCUGCGCCGUAUUAGCUAGUUGGUAAGGUAACGGCUUACCAAGGCAACGAUACGUAGCCGACCUGAGAGGGUGAUCGGCCACACUGGAACUGAGACACGGUCCAGACUCCUACGGGAGGCAGCAGUAGGGAAUCUUCCGCAAUGGGCGAAAGCCUGACGGAGCAACGCCGCGUGAGUGAUGAAGGUCUUCGGACCGUAAAACUCUGUUAUUAGGGAAGAAUAAACGUGUAAGUAACUGUGCACGUCUUGACGGUACCUAAUCAGAAAGCCACGGCUAACUACGUG